GGUUUCUGCUCUACUCACCUAGACCUUCGGCUAAGAUUCUCCCAGAAGGUGUCUCCGUAAGGCUGAGGCAUUGGUCUGCUACUCUGGGAGGGCUGGCUGCAGCGUGAAGAUCGGCUGACCACCCUGGAACUCCUGAGAGGAGAACAAGGAGCUGGAGGAGGGCAGAAGACGACCUUUGCAGAAGCAGUAAGGGCUCUUACUGGCGGAGUCAACUCUUCAGUACCUGCCCUUUUUCUUUUAAUGCCUAUGGUAAAAUCUAUUUUAGAACCUUU